AUGUCUGGCUGACUCGACCAGCAAAUUUGGGCCUGAACAGCAUUGAGAUACUAUCGCCCUCCUACUUCCACAAGCUCUAAUGCCUCCGUAGAAGAGCAUGGCAUUUCUGGACUCACCCGGGAAGCCUAAGCAUCUCCCUUCAGCUGGAUGCAUCCCAGCAGAGACUGCAAAUGGAUCUAAAGAGGAAUAAUUCGGAAUUGGCUUCUCUCGUGGGGUUUUCUUGUCAGGGCUAAAAUAGCCUGACUUUUUUUUAAUCAAUGGCCUGACUGCAAUGAUAACAGGAUUAGGGGACCCGAUCCAACCGAGUGUGGGCUGGACAGGUUUUGAGAGGUGCUACAAUGCCUGGAAAGGCCAGGACGUACAAAUAAUGAAGAGGAGAAAGGUCAGUGGUAAACACAAUGGUUCACGUCACUCAACAACCUUCAGUGGACAAACAGCAGGAAGCUGAUGUCUUCAUAAAAAGAUGGAUUUCCGUCCAUCCUCAAAAACAAGAUGUUAAUCAGGAGUAAAGGCUGAUUCGUAAGGAGGCACUGAACCGCGAGGUGAAGAAUAAUAAGAAAGUCAGAUGUGUUUGGGACGACACUAGG